rnacentral:rRNA from 1 species
ACGGAAGGCAGCAGUGGGGAAUAUUGCACAAUGGGGGAAACCCUGAUGCAGCGACGCCGCGUGAAGGAUGAAGUAUUUCGGUAUGUAAACUUCUAUCAGCAGGGAAGAAAAUGACGGUACCUGACUAAGAAGCCCCGGCUAACUACGUGCCAGCAGCCGCGGUAAUACGUAGGGGGCAAGCGUUAUCCGGAUUUACUGGGUGUAAAGGGAGCGUAGACGGUAUGGCAAGUCUGAAGUGAAAACCCAGGGCUCAACCUUGGGACUGCUUUGGAAACUGGUAAGCUAGAGUGUCGGAGAGGCGAGUGGAAUUACUAGUGUAGCGGUGAAAUGCGUAGAUAUUAGGAGGAACACCAGUGGCGAAGGCGGCUUGCUGGACGAUGACUGACGUUGAGGCUCGAAAGCGUGGGGAGCAAACAGGAUUAGAUACCCUGAUA